CAAUGCUGCUUAUAUAUACAUAUAUAAUCUAUUUCUAGAUUAUACCUCUCCAGAGCAAGCUGUGAGGUUCUGCAGUGCUCCAAUGGAGGCCUCCUUUGUGUGCUGGUUUGUGCUGACGGCAAUGAGAGAGAGAUACAUGCGGACAGUGAUGGCGCUCCAGAGCCACUCCAAACCGUGAGGGCUGCCGUUCUCUUCGAGUAAGGGAUAGUCUGCAUCUGGUUCCUGAGACUGCUCCUGCAUGCUGAUCAGUGAGCCAGGUUGGGAGGGUCGUCUUCCUGCAACAAACUCCAGGCUUGGCUUCCGUAUUCGGCUCUGCCAGGACACGUUCUCUGAUUGUUCCUGAAGACCAAAACCCCCCCCUCUCGGGCUGCAGAGGGUCUUCUGAAGGGCUUAAUGGGGAGCUGAGUGACAGCCGACGGGCCUGCGAACUUCGGGCUUCGCAAAACCUCGGAGUGGGCAUAAUGUAAAGUUUGUUUGUUCAUAUGGAAACGGUUGACUGUAGGGACAGAGGGGAGACUGAGAGAAGUAGCCCCCCAGCAUAAAGCCAGCUGUUUAGUGUUGUAACGAAAGCUUCCAUAGCCUCUGUGAGAUCGAGGUGGCUCGGUACUUGACCACUGAGAUCGAUCAACCAUCCGUGACAACCUUGUGGCUUCAUGAAUGACGGUGAACGUCCGCUGCAAAGUGUAGACUUCCUAAAGAUGUACUACUGGAAAUAUGACAGCUGGAUAGACUGUCUGAAAGAGAUGACUCUGCAACGCCCAAAACACACACAGUUGGACUGCAUACAAUACAACACAAUGGAAAACAUACUCUUCAUGAUCACUUGCAGAUCCUACUAAAUAGGUCUGAAUGAGUUCUGACAAACUAAGGAAGGAUUCACUUUUC